AGAGUUUGAUCCUGGCUCAGAUUGAACUCUGGCGGCAGGCCUAACACAUGCAAGUCGAACGGUAACAGGAAGCAGCUUGCUGCUUCGCUGACGAGUGGCGGACGGGUGAGUAAUGUCUGGGAAACUGCCUGAUGGAGGGGGAUAACUACUGGAAACGGUAGCUAAUACCGCAUAACGUCGCAAGACCAAAGAGGGGGACCUUCGGGCCUCUUGCCAUCGGAUGUGCCCAGAUGGGAUUAGCUUGUUGGUGGGGUAACGGCUCACCAAGGCGACGAUCCCUAGCUGGUCUGAGAGGAUGACCAGCCACACUGGAACUGAGACACGGUCCAGACUCCUACGGGAGGCAGCAGUGGGGAAUAUUGCACAAUGGGCGCAAGCCUGAUGCAGCCAUGCCGCGUGUAUGAAGAAGGCCUUCGGGUUGUAAAGUACUUUCAGCGGGGAGGAAGGGAGUAAAGUUAAUACCUUUGCUCAUUGACGUUACCCGCAGAAGAAGCACCGGCUAACUCCGUGCCAGCAGCCGCGGUAAUACGGAGGGUGCAAGCGUUAAUCGGAAUUACUGGGCGUAAAGCGCACGCAGGCGGUUUGUUAAGUCAGAUGUGAAAUCCCCGGGCUCAACCUGGGAACUGCAUCUGAUACUGGCAAGCUUGAGUCUCGUAGAGGGGGGUAGAAUUCCAGGUGUAGCGGUGAAAUGCGUAGAGAUCUGGAGGAAUACCGGUGGCGAAGGCGGCCCCCUGGACGAAGACUGACGCUCAGGUGCGAAAGCGUGGGGAGCAAAUCAGGAUUAGAUACCCUGGUAGUCCACGCCGUAAACGAUGU
rnacentral:rRNA from 1 species